AUUGAACGCUGGCGGCAGGCUUAACACAUGCAAGUCGAGCGGAGAUGAGGUGCUUGCACCUUAUCUUAGCGGCGGACGGGUGAGUAACGCCUAGGAAUCUGCCUGGUAGUGGGGGAUAACGUUCCGAAAGGAACGCUAAUACCGCAUACGUCCUACGGGCGAAAGCAGGGGACCUUCGGGCCUUGCGCUAUCAGAUGAGCCUAGGUCGGAUUAGCUAGUUGGUGAGGUAAUGGCUCACCAAGGCGACGAUCCGUGACUGGUCUGAGAGGAUGAUCAGUCACACUGGAACUGAGACAAGGUCCAGACUCCUACGGGAGGCAGCAGUGGGGAAUAUUGGACAAUGGGCGAAGGCCUGAUCCAGCCAUGCCGCGUGUGUGAAGAAGGUCUUCGGAUUGUAAAGCACUUUAAGUUGGGAGGAAGGGCAGUAAGUUAAUACCUUGCUGUUUUGACGUUACCGACAGAAUAAGCACCGGCUAACUUCGUGCCAGCCGCCGCUGUAACAC
rnacentral:rRNA from 1 species